CCGAGUUUGGGACCCUUUGGGUACCAUCUCCCACCAAUUGUGAACCCUUUUCGUUGCCUCGGCGGGUCUGAUGUACCCAUCCUCUGGCUUUUGCUGGGGAGUCCCCGCCGAUGGAUUUUCAAACCAGACUUUAACCUACAAUCUGAGUCAAACAAAAUAAAAACA
rnacentral:misc_RNA from 1 species